GUCACGUCCAGCGUAGAGAUGGUAUCCUUUAAAUGAGAAUAACUAGACUAGCACGUACCAUAAAAGAGCUUGUAACUAGCUGGUAAGGACUUUAUGUAAUUCUGAUUAAUUCUGUCUGCUUAGCCUGUCCACUAUAGUCUGCGAGAAUUAGCCUUUUCCUCUUUAGUGUGGAACGGAGGUAACCUUGGGUACCGUCUACCUGCUUUCCAAACUUCCAUCUCUGCUUUUGCACGUAGGCUCGUCUUAGCCGGAGCAGAAGCUGCUAGAGUCUUUCCCCCUCGCUGUACUUCCUAGACUCGGGGAAGCUCACCUGUGGGUGUUACUGGCUCAGUCCUGUCUGACUCUUUGCGACCCCAUGGACUGUAGCCCGCCAGGCUCCUCUGUCCAUGGAAUUCUCCAGGCAAGAACACUGAAGUGGGUUGCCAUUCCUUUCUCCAGGAAAGCUCACCUAGAGUCCCUCUCUUUCCAGCAAUCCUUCCCUGAUCUAGAAGGCUCUUCAUUCACUCCUUAGGCUGUUUGCCACUUCUCAGAUAUUAUUGAUGAUUUUCUUUUUAUUUGCAUCCUGUCUUUAUCUGUAGGUCUUUUGAGGACAGAAUCUGUACCAGACUUUCAGAGAACAUUACUCCUACUUCAUGAAGCUCCACCAUGAGACGAGGUGGAUGGAGGAAGAGAGCUGAAGAUGACUGGGAAAAAUGGGGUGGGUAUAUGGCCGCCAAGGUCCAGAAAUUGGAGCAACAGUUUCGAUCAGAUGCUGCUAUCCAGAAGGACGGAACUUCAUCAACAAUUUUUAGUGGAGUCGCCAUCUAUGUUAAUGGAUAUACAGAUCCAUCUGCUGAGGAAUUGAGGAAGCUAAUGAUGUUGCAUGGAGGCCAGUAUCAUGUGUAUUAUUCCAGAUCCAAAACAACACACAUCAUUGCCACAAAUCUUCCUAAUGCCAAAAUCAAAGAGUUAAAGGGAGAAAAAGUAAUUCGACCAGAAUGGAUUGUGGAAAGCAUCAAAGCUGGACGACUCCUGUCCUGCAUUCCGUAUCAGCUAUACAGCAAGCAGUCCUCUGUACAGAAAAGUCUCAACUUUAAUCCUGUGUGCAAACCUGAGGAUCCCCUCCCCGGUCCCAGCAGCAUCACCAAGCAGCUCAACGACAGGGUAAAUCACAUAAUUAAGAAAAUUGAGACGGAAAGUGAAGUCAGAGUUAAUGGAGUGAACAACUGGAAUGAAGAAGCUGCAGAUAAUGACUUUGAUUUUGUGGGGCUGGAGCCUGUCUUCCCAGGAAGAAAACAGAACGGAAUUCCGCAUCCCAGAGGUGGCCGUGCCCUUUGUAAUGGGCACGCCCACAGCUCUCACGGUGCCUUAAAAAGCUUGGACUGCCUGGCGCCCCCUGGCAGCGGUGUUGCCAGCAGGCUGUCCCCAGAGCCCGCCCGGGAGGAGGCCGCGGGGGCCUUCAGAGACUGCACCGUGCAGCUGGCCCAGCAGAGCACCUGCGGCGCGGACGCUCUGCGGGAUCCACACAGAACUAAGCCCUUCCCCUCGCCGCCUUUGCACAGUAACCCUCGAGUCAACGGUGCUCACCACUCCACCGUUCAGGGGCCUUCAAGCACAAAGAGCACUUCGUCAGUACCUUCCCCAAGCAGGGCGGGGCCCUCGGGGCCGCCCAGACCCUCGGACUGCAACUUCAUCUCGGACUUCUACUCCCGGUCGAGACUGCACCACAUAUCCACGUGGAAGUGCGAACUGACUGAGUUUGUCAAUGCGCUGCAGAGGCAGAGUAGUGGUAUCUUCCCAGGAAGGGAAAAGUUAAAAAAAAUGAAAGCAGGCAGGUCCGCACUUGUUGUAGCUGACACAGGAAAUAUGUCAGUAUUGAGUUCACCCAGACAUCAGAGCUGUAUAAUGCAUGUUGAUAUGGAUUGCUUCUUUGUAUCAGUGGGUAUACGAAAUAGACCAGAUCUCAAAGGAAAACCAGUGGCUGUUACAAGUAACAGGGGCACCGGCAGGGCCCCUCUGCGUCCGGGCGCUAACCCUCAGUUGGAGUGGCAGUAUUAUCAGAAUAAGAUCCUGAGAGGCAAAGCAGCAGAAAUACCAGAUCCGUCAACGUGGGAGAGUCAAGAUUCUGCACAGAUAAAUGGAAUUGAUUCUGUUUUGUCAAAGGCUGAAAUCGCAUCUUGUAGUUAUGAAGCCAGACAAGUUGGCAUUAGGAAUGGAAUGUUUUUCGGGCAAGCCAAACAGCUCUGUCCCAGUCUCCAGGCGGUCCCUUACGACUUCCACGCGUAUAAGGAGGUUGCACGGACGAUGUACGAGACGCUGGCCAGCUACACACACAACAUCGAAGCCGUCAGCUGUGAUGAAGCCCUGGUAGACAUCACCGAGAUCCUCGCUGAGACCAGACUCACGCCUGACGAGUUUGCGAACGCUGUCCGCAUGGAAAUUAAGGACCAGACUAAAUGUGCUGCCUCUGUGGGGAUCGGUUCUAAUAUUCUGCUGGCUAGAAUGGCAACUAGAAAAGCAAAGCCGGAUGGCCAGUACCACUUAAAACCAGAAGAGGUAGACGAUUUCAUCAGAGGCCAGCUAGUCACUAACCUACCAGGAGUUGGGCGUUCAAUGGAGUCCAAGCUGAUGUCUCUGGGGAUCAGGACGUGCGGAGACCUGCAGUACCUGACCAUGGCGAAACUCCAGAAGGAAUUUGGCCCCAAGACCGGCCAGAUGCUUUACAGGUUCUGCCGAGGCUUGGACGACAGACCGGUUCGCACUGAGAAGGAAAGAAAGUCUGUUUCAGCUGAGAUCAACUAUGGAAUAAGGUUUUCCCAGCCAAAAGAAGCAGAAGCUUUUCUUCUGAAUCUUUCAGAAGAAAUUCAGCGGCGCCUUGAAGCUGUGGGCAUGAAGGGUAAACGCCUGACUCUCAAAGUCAUGGUGCGGAAGCCGGGGGCCCCUGUAGAAACGGCCAAAUAUGGAGGCCAUGGCAUCUGUGAUAUCACCACCAGGACUGUGACUCUUGACCAGGCAACAGACAGUGCGAAACUCAUUGGCACGGCCACGCUGAACAUGUUUCACGCGAUGAAGCUCAGCAUAGCUGACAUGCGAGGGGUUGGGAUUCAUGUGAAUCAGUUGGUUCCAGCGAAUCCAAACCCGCCUGCGUGCCUCAGCCGCCCAGCAGCCCAGCCCAGCCACGGUGCGGGCGGGGCCCCGUCUGUCCUGGAACUCCUGCAGGCCCAGAGGGCGAGGCAGCCCCCGGAAGAGGAGCCCGCAGGAGUAUUUCUGGCUGCGGUGGAUCUGGAAAUGCCACCUGCCCCUCGAUCUGGCACUGUGCCCUCUCUGUCUCCACACCUGACGCCGGGUGUCGCGCCUGUCACUACCAGCAAAGCCGAGUGUGCCAGCAAGUGGAACGGGCUGCAUUCUCCUGUCAGCUUAAAGCCAAGACUCAACCUGAGCAUAGAGGUCCCAUCACCUUCCCAGCUCGAUCGCUCCGUCCUGGAGGCUCUCCCGCCCGACCUACGGGAGCAGGUGGAGCAGGCAUGUGCUGUGCAGCAGGCGGAGCCACCGGGCGACCGGAGGAGAGAGCCUGUCAACGGCUGCAGCGCAGGGAUCCUGCCCCAACCCGUGGGGACUGUGCUGCUACAAAUACCGGCACCUCAGGACCCUACCAGCGACACGGGCAUUAAUUUAAUAGCUCUUCCGGCGUUUUCCCAGGGAGAACUCUCUGCUUCCACUUCAGGUGUUGCUGGCCUUUGUGGGUUGCAGCCUGACGUGUCCACAAGUGUCAGGCCCCCGGCGCCCAACCUGGCUGGAGCCGUGGAGUUCAGUGACGUGAAGACCCUGCUCAGAGAGUGGAUCACCACCAUCUCAGAUCCGAUGGAGGAAGACAUUCUGCAAGUUGUAAAAUACUGCACUGAUCUAAUAGAGGAGAAGGAUUUGGAAAAAUUGGACCUCGUUAUAAAAUACAUGAAAAGGCUGAUGCAGCAAUCAGUGGAGUCGGUUUGGAAUAUGGCGUUUGACUUCAUUCUCGACAAUGUUCAGGUGGUUUUACAGCAAACGUACGGAAGCACAUUAAAAGUCACGUGAAGGUGAAUCACCAGGGAGCCUGGCGCUCUCCACUAGCUGUGCCAUAAGUGCUUGUGAGGUAUUUGCAAAGUGCAUGAUAGUAAUGCUCUGAGUUUUAUAAUUUUAAAUUUCUUUUUAAGCGAAGUGUUUUGUACAUUUCUUUUCAGUAAGUGCCAAAUUUGUCAGUAUUGCAUGUAAAUAAUUGUGUUCUUUUACUGUAGCAUAGAUUCUAUUUACAAAAUGUUUGUUUAUAAAGUUUUAUGGAUUUUUACAGUGAAGUGUUUACAGUUGUUUAAUAAAGAACUGUAUGUAUAUUUUGU
rnacentral:lncRNA from 1 species